rnacentral:rRNA from 1 species
GAUGAACGCUAGCGAUAGGCUUAACACAUGCAAGUCGAGGGGCAGCGAGGGUAGCAAUACCUGUCGGCGACCGGCGCACGGGUGAGUAACGCGUAUGUAACCUGCCCGCAACAGGGGGAUAACCCGGCGAAAGUCGGACUAAUACCGCAUAAAACAGGGGUCCCGCAUGGGAAUAUUUGUUAAAGAUUUAUCGGUUGCGGAUGGGCAUGCGUACCAUUAGGUAGUUGGUGAGGUAACGGCUCACCAAGCCUUCGAUGGUUAGGGGUUCUGAGAGGAAGGUCCCCCACACUGGUACUGAGACACGGACCAGACUCCUACGGGAGGCAGCAGUGAGGAAUAUUGGUCAAUGGGCGAGAGCCUGAACCAGCCAAGUCGCGUGAAGGAUGACUGCCCUAUGGGUUGUAAACUUCUUUUACAAGGGAAUAAAAUGAGAUACAUGUAUUUUAUUGCAUGUACCUUGGGAAUAAGCAUCGGCUAACUCCGUG